rnacentral:tRNA from 1 species
GCAGUGGUGGUUCAGUGGUAGAAUUCUUGCCUUCAAUGCGGGAGACUCGGUUUCGAUCCCUGGCCGAUAUA